CGCCGGCCGUCACUGUCACCUCGGCCUCUGUGCGGGAUAAAUCACGUGCGAUUAUACCCUGGAAUUUAAGAAUUAUUUUUAAAUUCAAAUAUAAAAUUCACGUAUGGAAUGAAAAAUUCAUAGUCACGAGCCGGAUUCGAAUCGAAUGCACACCACGUUAUGGUCAGACCCUCGUCACCUUGGGUGAUAUAUUGGAUUGGGCAAAACAGGAAAUGUGGAAUGAAGGGUUUAACUGGAAGCCGUUAAACAGAUCCAUUAUCUAUUUCAUUAAAUUAAUGAUAAACAUAAUCUUAUUGCACGCAAAAUUCCAUGUGAUAGCUUCGGUUUUUUGCUUUAUGGUCUGUUACAAAGAACAAGAAUAAAUCUUUUGAAAUUCAAUGCUGAGAAGUUUUAAAAUAUGUAGGGAGCCUUAAGUGUCAGAACUGAAAGUGCAUUAAUAUAAGCGCCGGCGGCGACAUGCGACCACUACCGGAAUGGAUGGUACUUGUAAAAUGCAUAUUAUUCAUGUUUAUUUGAAUGAAAACAUUUGACACGAAAAGAAUUCAUUCCAGUAAAUAUAUUUUUAUAAAUAAAUUAAUGCUGAUAUUAUUUCAUUUUUGUUAUUGUGGUUUAUUAUAUAAGAGCAAUAAAAAAAUCAAACAGGUAGCUGAAUGUAUAGAAAAUAUUUUAGGAUAUGUGUGGGUAUAUCAUGUAGGUAGGGAGUCCGAAAUCGCUGUAGAUAUUAUUCCAUUUAAAAAUAUUGGUCGUUCUCAUUGAUCAAAACGUUAGAUCGCCAUUCACCAUAGUGAUUUAUAUCUCGAUCAAUGGGAUCUCAUCAUUUAUACCUACAAUACCUGGGAACUUGUGCUCGCAGCGAAAAGAAAUGGAUGGCUUGAGAAACUAUUGAAUAGAAAUGCACCAUGUCUGAGAAAUACCAUUAAAGGUACUGAUAUUUAUGAAC